GGUGAUGGAGAGAAACCAUUUGUUUUAUUUUUUUUUAAUUUGUUAAUAUAUUAUAAGGGAUUAAUUACUAUUUAUUGUUAAUGUAAAAAGUUUUAUACUGUCGAUUCAUCAUCAUCGUCCGUUUACAUUAUUUUAUAGAUUUUUAAAAUAAAAAUCAAAUUUAUUUCAAUAUCCAACGUUUAAAAUUAACUGAUGGUGUAAAAAAAAUUUAUACUGUCAAUGUAUUUCAAUUAAAUCCUUAAAAAUAUAGACAAAGAGAAAUACUUUAAUUUAUA
rnacentral:lncRNA from 1 species